UACGUAGGGGGCAAGCGUUGUCCGGAUUUAUUGGGCGUAAAGAGCGUGUAGGCGGUCAGGUAGGUCCGUUGUGAAAACUCGAGGCUCAACCUCGAGACGCCGAUGGAAACCAUCUGACUAGAGUCCGGAAGAGGAGAGUGGGAAUUCCUGGUGUAGCGGUGAAAUGCGCAGAUAUCAGGAAGAACACCCGUGGCUAAGGCGGCUCUCUAGUACGGUACUGACGCUGAGACGCGAAAGCGUGGGGGAGCGAACAGG
rnacentral:rRNA from 1 species